rnacentral:lncRNA from 1 species
AUACGUGCACGCUCACAUGCGCUCUGCUUUCUGCCCCGGUUUGGGCCCAGAGGCAGGUCACAGGAAGCUGCUCCUAUCAAUAAGUUAUUAAUACUUGAUGCUGGUGGCCGCCGUGCAUUAUUCAGCAAUAAUGAUAAGGGCUGUUCCAUUAUAGAUUACAGCACCUGCAGACCCCCCCCCUCUCUUUGAGGCACACCUUUCAAAGCAGAAGUGAAAGAAAGACCUGCUGCUGAAGACAAACCUGAGGACAAGUUUGUGCCAGAGGUUUGGAGCGCUGCAGGAAGAAACGGUGAAGUCUGCCUUGAUGAAGCUCAGACACGAUCAGGAUGUUGAUCCAACCAGGGAGAGCAGAUCUUCAGCACAAGGUGCUUCUGGACCGUCAGAGGCAUUUAACAGUUUAUGCUGAACGGCUUACUAUGACAUCAAGAUUUAAAGAGAUUUUUAACUGAUUUGCAUAAACAUCCACUACAAAAGCCCUCCUAGAGGCUUCCAUCAUGAAAGAAUAUCAUGUUGUUGGUGUUUUCAACAUGUUCCUGUGGCAUUUUUCUGAUAAUGGAGGACAUGUAUAAAGAAAAUUAAGAUUAAAUUGCAAUUCUGAGUAUUUCUUUGUUGAAAUCGCUGAGAAUCAGGAGCAGAUGAAAAAAAUGCAGUUUCAAAAUGAUUGAGAUGUAUAAAAGACGCUGGGCGGACCACGAGCUCCCUGCCCCGAGCUCUCCACCAGCAACAGGGAGGGGAAGAGGGGGCGGGAUUGUUCCGCACCAACAGCCCCAGGUCAAUCUUUAGAGAAAUCCUGCCGUUCUGCAGAAACCAUGUCCAAGAAAAUGACAUUUCUGAUUUUAGCUCAAAACAGCUUCAUCAUCAGUAAAACCCACCUGGAACACUUUGACUCUGCAGGAUCAGAAAAAGAGUCUCAGAAGCCAAAUGAUUCUCUCCUCGUUUUUCUUUGAGCUGAUUAAAAGAAAAACUGACAAAUGCGGCAAGAAGAGCGAGUAGCCAUCUUGGGCCUGGGAUUGGCUUCCAUGUCAGGAACACGGUCCAAACAAAAGAGUAUCCAGUGGAAGAUGUUAUGGACUCCAUGAUGCUGUGAUGUCAUUUUAACAUCCUGCGUUUAAAAAAACACCACCAUGGAUGAGUGGAGCGGUAGGUAUGGCGCCUUCGCAAAGAGGAUUUUCUCCAAGACUGGCGUCGUAAAAACCGACGUUCCCCGGCUACAGUCCCCACAUUCACCUGUGGGCGGCGCUACACACUAAUCCUUUUUCGGCAGAGGUAAAGAGGUGCGCUGCUGCUAUCCUCCUGGUCUCGGGCAGAAGACGAGCAGGAAAUAUGAAAUGAUUCUGAUAUCUCCUUCAAAGAGGAAGCGUCUCUCCCCUUCCUGAGUGUCACAGAUAGCAGAGAGAGCUGGCGGACUGCUAAUGCUCUCUUAAGACCAGAUAGGCUCAUUAUACGGCUGCUGUGAGGACAGGAAGGAAAAAAACAUGUCAGGUCUGCCAGACAUGUCUGCUCCGUCCCUUUGUAAAGGUAAAAGCCAGUUGCUUCCUCUCACCUCUUUCAACCUCACAUAAAAACACCAACUGGAAGCCUCAGUCUCCACUGCAGCAACAAUAAUUGGCCUUCAUGGGAAGUGGGCG